AAAAAAGUGGAGAGAUUUUGAGUUAGUAUGCCUGCAUUAGCCAACAGUUAAGUCUAGCGUUUACCCGUGACAACUGAUGAUCUUCUUCUCCUGUGUGCUCCAGUUGUGAUACUCUGAGUACUGAGUUAAUGACGUGAAGAACUAUAGAGCUGCAGUGUGCUGACGUAAACUCAAAUCUAAGCUGAAGGAGAAGUUCCAAAAGCGGGACACCCAACCCAUCUGAAUCAGAUCGACACAGAGCUCUACAUCCCAGAGGAAGGAACUGGAGAGAUCUGGUCCACUUCUCUCCCGGCUUCACCCACACGCCGCCGGUUGGGUUAUCCAUCACGUACUCCAGCCCCCCGGUGUCGCAGCGGCUUUGGGGCCAGGAAUGGUGUGUUGACUUCUCCAGUGCCCGGCACGAGUGAAGAUAGGCGGACUGACUGGUCACCUUCCUCUGUAUGUGAACAACGGAGGCUGGAGUAGAACAUGAGUCCAUUCUCUGAUACAUGUCCACUGCGCCAAAGCGGUGGAAAACCACCCUGGCUUCUAUGGAGGAUUUGGAGCCGUGCUGUCCCAUAUUGUUACUUAAAUUGAAAACAAUCCAAGAAAAUAAAAAAAAAAACAA